ACAUUCUUAAUAAUCCAUUUUUGAUAAUGUUUUACAUUGAGCACAUCAGUGUUCAACUGGUUCUUAUAAAUGUCUGUUCAUAGGAUGGUUUGUGUGUGUCAUUUGAAAACAAAAUACCAUUUUGAGAAGAAAUAACAAUGUUUAGAAUGUAAAGUUUCAUUUUGCAGGAGAAUUGAGGGGUUUUGCCUAUUG